AAACAACUCUUUGGAGCGUUAUGUUCACCUCGUGUGUAAAAAGUUUUAACGGGUUGUUUUUUUCUACCCAAACGCUGGGUUGCCGCUCUUGGGUAAUUUUUCUGGGCUUCGUGUCUCUCUUCAGCUCCCACACCGCUGAUGACGGUUCAUCCUCCUCGGGCAUUUAAGGGAAAAUGGCGUUAAAUACAAGGUUGGAACCAACAUGGUGAAAUACCUCCAGCAGGCUGAAGGGUCAAGGCCGUACCCCUACAUCCUGACGUUGGGAGAAAAUGACCAGCGCUGCUCUUAGGCAUUCGUCAUUCUGGUGGGACAGGCUCUGGAGCAAUGCACACUACUUGGGGCGGUUGAUGUGUGCUUAAAGGCAUUUUAUAUUUUUGACAUUAACUAUCCAAAGCAGUGUGCUCCUGUAUAGGACUUUUUGUAAUGUUGCUAUGAAAUAGCGAGGCCUACUUGAAAAGUCAUAGACAGUGUUUGUAUGUUAAAAUGAGACCAGGGCUGGAUAGUUUUGUUCUGCAAAAAAGAUAUUUGGAGUCACAGAGAUCCUGCUCUGUAGAAGCUGCCUCAGCCUAUUUGUGCAAUUACUCCAUUCUGCCCUUGUGAGUAAUAGUAUGGUAAUGAUGUUGCUGUUGAUUAUCUGUUCUUGUGCUUUUGAAAAAUAAAUAUUUUUUCUAGGAACA